rnacentral:lncRNA from 13 species
AUGUGCAACGACGGCUCGUGGUGGCAGAGAGAGAAGCGGAUCGUGAUGACAAGCACACAGCGGGCGUUCGCAGGCGCCAGGCAGCACGCCAAGCCUGCUCCGCGCAACCUUAUUCAAGCCCCGAACCAAAGCCCUGUCGCUUUCUUCUUACAAGAAAGAAAAAAGGGGGGGGCACUCAGAAGGGGUUCAAGGCCUUCUGUGCCCCAGAUCAGGACCCCGAGACCUGGCGGAGUCCUGCGUCCAGAGACGCCGACCUGGGGGAGCCCAGGGGCAAUUCCGGCUGCUUUUCUAGCCCACCCUCGCCGCCCAUUUCGGGUCUUCUCCCUCCCGCCCGCCCCCCCGGGCCAGGACCGGCAAACCCGGAACACGGGGUGGUCUUUUCCAUUUUUCCCUUCCCGGAGGUCCCACGGGUGUCUCCUUUGUAGAUCGACCCCCGCGAUUCAGGCUGCUCGGCCUCCCCGUGGGUCAGAAAGCAGCUUCCCCGGGGGGAACCCCGCAGCCCGGGUUCAAAUCCCGACGCCGCCCGUCCUCGGCCGUGUGACCUUGGCCGAGUCCCUUGCCCUCGCCCCCAAAGUGAGGGUUUCAGGGUCCCCCCCCCGCUCCAGUUACGGAGGCGGGGACAAGACGAGAGAAGAAGCCUCCUCUCCGCGGACGAUGUCACCCGCCACGGCCUCUCCCGUACGCGAGCCCUUCUUCUGGUUCUCCUGGCCCCAGUGCGGCGUUAGGAUUCGAACCCAGGCCCAGCCGGCCAAGGACUUGCUCCCGCCGGGGCCUGGGAGGAGCCGGGGGACGCGAGACCUCCAGGUGCGGGGAGGCCGCGAACGGGGUCGCACGCCAGGGCCCGCGAGGACCCCAAACGCACCCUGUGCCCGCCCUCGGGGCCCCAGAUCCACCUUCUUGAGCCGCUCCAUCAAAACGCUCUUGUUGCCGCUCGAGUCCACAUUCCGUUUUCUCAGCUCCGCCCGCAGAUCGAUCACUCGCAGGUCGCUGAGGCGUCGCGUCCCGGUCUCUGACGAGGCGGAGCUCAGAGCCGCCGCGCCCGCUGCUCCAGAAUCUCCUAGGCCUGACAGAGUCUCCGCCAUUCCAGGGACCCUGGCUCCACCGCCCACUUUCCACAGAACCGGGCCGGUUUUAUCAGGCUCCUAG